GUCGGUUUGUCCGAGUGGUUAAGGAGACAGAUUAGAAAUCUGUUGGGCUCUGCCCGCACAGGUUCAAAUCCUGUAGCCGACG
rnacentral:tRNA from 1 species